CAGCCGGUAAUGAUGAAAUAAAAUUUUAUGAGUUGAGUUGUAUCCUCCCACAAUGAAUGUCUUAAAGCCUUAAUUGCCAACUCCUUAGACUGUGACCUUAUUAAGAGAUAGGGUCUUAGAAGACAAAUCAAGUGAAGUUAAUUGUUAAGGUAGCCCCUGACCCAUAUGGCUAGUGACCUUAUAAAAUGGACAAUUAGACAGAAAGGCACAUAGAGGAAAGAUAUUGUGCAGCUACAGGAAGGAGGACCCUGUGAGCAAGCCACAGGCAGAGGUCUGGAACCAAUCCUUCCUUUGGUCCCCUGAGAAAGAACCAGUCUCUCUCAACCCUAGAUCUAGGGCCAAGGCUUCAGACUGUAGAACUGUGAGGCAACCCAUUUGUCUUACUUAAUUUACUCAGUUUGCUGGGCUUUGUUACGGCCAGCCUAGAAAAACAACAAAGCAAGGCUCAGGGUCUGCCCUUACCUAUCCUGAACUGGCUUCCUCGCUUCUGCUCCCAAAGCACCGGCCUUUUCCUCCUAUCAGCACUGCCUUCUCCCUCCAAGUGUGAGCCUCUCCCAGGAGCACACUGGAGCAGGCUCUUCAGAAACACAGGGCAAAAUAGAUCUGACUUGCAAGAAGCAAGAUGUUUCCAGAAACUCACUAAAGGUCUACUGAGCUUGCCUAGAUCACACUUCUAAUGAGGCACUGGCUGAAUGAGAGUGUGAUACGAGAUCACACUCCAUCCUAAAACAUUGCCAAGAAUGACUCUGGGAAAAGCCCUUAAGAAGGUUUACUGUGUUACUUUUCAUUCGCUAUUAGUUCCUGAUUAUUCAUCAAACAGGAUCAAUAUGUAAAGGAAGAGUUCAGGAAUACGACAUGAUUUGAAGGAAGACUCACCAGACAGCCUUUCUAGUAUCUUUGAGGCAUUAGACAAUGAGGCUCUCUUGGGUACAUUCUGUCCUCUUCUUCUGUUCUCCAAGUGACUCCACCUAACUAACAGUGCAGAAGAGAACACAGCAACAUAUUUUAGACAAUUCCUGCAACUUGAGUCUCAGGAAGUCACAUUUUCUAGUAACUAGACUUUUGAGGAUUAGUGAAACUCAUAAAUGUAUUUUCUGGAAUUUUUUUUCAUAGCAGCAAAUCUUAUUUCCCAGUGUUUUAAGACAGGUCACUUGGGAAAUUAUUUUAAUUUUCACUGUAUCUUAAUGAACCACCAUUUAAACCAUCCUAGUAUAUUAAAAUGCAGUGGUACUCUAGAGGUAAUUUUACCUUUCAUUCAGAUUUUACCUUGACUGGUGACUACUAUCCCAGUUUCUUUUUGGUACCAACUGAGAGAUCAUAUGUGUUCUAAUGCACAUUUGUAAAUUAGUACAGUUUUGUCAUUAAGAAAGGAUACAUUGUCACCAUACAAUUUAUCCCAUAAACACAGUACACAGCAUAUGCUACUUUAUCUUUUCUUAAAUCUUCUAGCACUGGUUGUCAACCGGCUCAGACCUGUGAAUGAAAGAAAACACAUGAGCACUAUCCCACGGCCUAACAAUUCCUUUGAACAGGCUUUAGUUUCUCAUAUCUCCUUGUGACUUAAAGGAAUGUAGUGUACAUAUCUGCAUAUGUGUCUAUACUUGUGUUUUGGUCUUUUUCUUGAUUCCAAGACUGGUUGUAGUAUGUAGUGAAGUCUUUGCUUAAAGACAGUCCUGGCAUCAGAUCUCUCUGUAUUCAUCUGCCCAGGCUGUUGUGACAAAGUACUACAAGCCAGGUGACUUAAAUAAUAGAAUUGUAUCAUCUCGCUGGAUUGGAAGCCAGAAGUCCAAGGUCACAGUGCCAACAGAGUUGGUUCCUUAAGAGGGCUGUGGGACAAAAUCUAUUUCCUGCCUGCUUUCAAACUUCUGGUGGGUCAUUGGCCACCCUUGGUUGCCUCAUCCCCUAGAACUAUCACUCCAAACUCUGCCUUCACCUUCAUAUGUCUCCACACUUCCUCUUGUGACAAGGACACCAUGUACCAAUUGGAUCAAGGCCUAUCCUCGGGACUUCAUUUGAACAGCUCCAAACACAGCCACAUGCUGUGGUACUCAGGGUCAGGAUUUUUUAUUAGCUACUUUCUUGUCACUGGGACAAAAUACCUGACUACUGAGGGAGGGGCGGUUUAUUACGGCUCAUGGUUUCAGUCGGUGAUUGGCUGGCCCUGAGAAAGAAACAGUAUUUCCGAGUGGCACAGACGGGGGGAAAGUGACCCUCAGUGCCAGAAAGCAGAAGAGAGGGGACACACAGGUGCCCUGCUAGAUCAGCACUCCGUGACCCACCUCUAACCAGACCCUACCUCCUAACAGAAAGUCAGCUAUGGAGUCCCCCAUCCAGUCACCUUCCUACACAUGAGACAUUCGAGGGGACACACUUUAGAUCUAAGCCAUAACAGAGUUGGAAACAAAAUUCCACCUGAAGCACCUGGCAUGGCCAGGGACUGCCAGUAGAAUGGGCACAGGACCUCCAUUUAGUCUUGGUCACCUCCUCUGGAAGAAGAAUCAAGCACUAUGCAUUUCUCAGGAGUUCUCUGAGAAGACUCAAAAGGGCUUCAGGGCCAUCCAGGUGUGAUUUAUCUUUAUCAGGCCGGCGAGGUGCCACGUGACAGUGAACACACACACACAGCAGCACAAGACAGCUGUCCAGUCAUCUCUCUCUUAAUCCAUAAUAAAGGAAAAGAACAGUUUUCAGUAAGAGCCUACCAAGUACUGGCAUGACUGUAGGUAAACCUGUGGGAAGUGGAGGAUUGCUCUGCUCUGUCUACCUGGUUAUUCUACAGACCUCUAUUUGCUCGUGCUGGGCACAAUCAUUUACCUUGACUGAAGUAUUAUAAGAGGAGGUGCGAACAUGGAGGGGAGAGGAAAGGGAGGCCUGUGGAGUGAACCCUCAUGACUGGGAAUAUCCAAAGCAAAGGUGGACAUUGCUCCUCUCUGGAGCAAGCACAGGGUCCUGCAGGAGGCGAUAACCUCCAGUCCCUGACCUGUGCAGGAAGGUGUCUGCCUAGCAGGAAAACAUUCACCUGGGACGAGGAAACCCAAGCAGCGGUCUGCAGCCCACAGUCAACAUCCAAAAGCCAAUAAAAUAAAUAAAUAUAAAUAAGAGUGCGAGGGCGGGUGCAUGUUGGAGGCUGAGGUCAUAUGAUUGUGACGGAACUAAAUGCGCGGGACUUAGGCGAUCCAGCCAUGUCCUCAAAGCGAGCAGGAAAAUGUCGAGGUCUCACUUCUGUCAUGUUUCCUUCUCACAGGAGCAUGAGAGGAAGCUAUGAUCUCCUGUCUGUGAGGUGAGGAAACACAGCCUGCGAUUAGCCCUGUUUGCCGGCCUGUGUUUCCCAGGUCACCUACCCGCAUGCACCAUCCACCGGUGCCCCCUUUCGUGCUCACGCUGUGCAUUACACUGAUUUGAAGCACUUUAUGAGCAAUCCAUAUAUCAUACAUAGUUCAGAUACACAUCACAAAUAUGUAAUGAUUAUAAGUUAAAGUAAUCACACAGCAAUUCUACUCUCAGCUGUAUCUCCAAGGGAAAUGAUAACAUAAACCUGUAUUCAAAGUGACAUAGGAAAGUUCAGAGAAUAGUACUUAAAAUGGAACUUGCUCUAAUACCCAUCCUCAGAUAAAUGGGUAAAGGAAAUGCAGUAUAUCUAUGAAAUGGAAUGUUUUUAAACCCUAAACAGUAAUAAAGUAUUAAAAAAUUAGAUGAGUAAAAUAUUAUGCUGGAUAAAAGAAACCAAUGUUGUAUAUUUUAUAUGAAUCGCCCUGAUUAUGCAAAUCUGUGGAACCAGGAAACAGAUUAGGUAAGGGAGGUUGGGGAAUGGGGGAAUGAAGAAUGAUUAUUUAAUGGAUACCAGGUGCUUUUAUGGGUUGAUGAGAAAUUUAAACUGAAGAACUUGGUCACUGUUCAAUAAUAGGGACAUAGUACAUUCUGCUAAAUUACUCACUUUAAUACAGUAAUCAUCAUCAGUGCAUCACACGAAGCUGUGAGCAUUUAACAGAGGCAAUGGCCAUAUAUUUGAAGGAAAGCAAGACUAACGUCUCCAGCUCACACAGCAGGAUGACCAAGCUUCAAAGCCUUUAUUAUGGCUCUGCCCUGCUUUGUCUCACUCUGCAACAGAGCUUGCAAAAGAAAUCUGCUGUUUUAAGUUUAGCAACCUGCCCGCAGUCACAGGGCUGUUCAAUCACAUCAAAAGCGGAUGGCAUGUCCAAUCGGGGAAAAGAGAAUCAUCAGUCUAAGAAUGGGACUCCUAACCCCAAACAGACACAUGCACACACCCUCGGCAUCGGCACCUGGGGCUUCUGGCAGGCUCGCAGUCUGAAUGACUGUCUGUCUUCCCUGCCUCUGCCAGGAGCAGUCAAGCUGACUAGAGUUGGAAAGGAAAGUUUGAGACCUCUGAGUUUUGUAUCUGGCAGCCAGAAAGUGUGAAGCAGAAUCUCACGUGACACAUGCUAGCAACCCCUUUAAUUCCGAAGGAUGCCAGUUGUCGGCAUGAGGCUCCUGGUCCUGAUCAGAGGUGAAAUGCUACGUGAUCAGCCCUUACCUUAUGAGGUGCAGGCAAUCAGGACUCUUCCCCAGGGACCUGUAUACCCUGGCCAUCACUUGCCACUGCCACUGACCUCUUUCUUUUCUUUAGCACUUACACAGACUCCUUUCUCUCAUUUUAAUGAAAAUGGAUCCGAUAAUGUCCUCUUUGACCUGUUGCAUUUCUCUUCCUCAACUGUCCACAUUUAUUUCUUCACAUCUUGCUUGCUCUUCACAUCUUGAUGAUCCGGAUCCCACUGUCAACGCCCUGAAUGAUUCUCAUGCUGCAACCAUCAACCUACAGCUCUUUGACUGAAAGUCAAGUCUUUGACUUGCCCACUAUGCCCUUGGGUUUGAAACAUUUCCUCUCCUUAGCAUCUGUGAUGCCCCAAUGCUGGGCUUCACUCCUCCUUUGUUCCUCAUUGGAUAUCAAACAGAGCAAAGUGGGAAGGACGUCUGCUUCUUUGGCACUACAGCUCAAGCCCUUAAUGGUGCCUGCAUCCAAAGAGAUUCAAAGGACUCUGUGAUACUCGGCCUGUUAGAGAUGCUUAGAGAUUCUAUUCUCUGAAAUGCUCCAAACUUUUCAAGAUGCAGUGGGUUGCACAGCCCUGCAAAUCCCUCUGGAUAACAUCCACACUUGCAAAUGUUGGUUGAAAGUCUUCAAGUGCUCUAUGAAAAUUUGGUCUUCUCUGUGAAUUCCCUGAGUAGGAGGGAAGUAAAUUUCUUCAUUUCUCAACAUACCAUAGCUAACAGCCAAACUUGAGAAUCGGAUUGACCUGGGUUUUAAUUUGAGUUCUACCACGAAUGGAUGGUGACCUGAAUCAACCUCAGCUUCCAUUCUUUCAACUGCAAAUUGGGAAGAAUAACACCCACAUAGUAAACACUGGCAUAAUACCUUCAUGUCCUAAUUAAGCUACAUUAAAUGAAAUUACAUGCAAUCACUUUUGCUAUAAUGUGACAUAUGCAUUUCUAAAAGAUCAUUGUAUUGUGUAGAAUCGUGCAAUAGAAACAUCAGUGUUUAUAGUAAAAAAAUAAGCUUUAGAGACCACAGAAAUUUCAUCACUGACAUUUUUAACAAAAUUGUAGCAAGUCAAGAAAGAUUGUAACGCAGUCUCAUCCAUAUUAAACCAUAGAAUAGUAUGAGAAAUAUGGUCCUUGACUCUGAAAAGGCCUGAAAUCUGCAGCUUGUGAGAGAGUAGAAGGAAGGUUACAAGAAAUUGGAUGAAAUAGAGCAGAUAGUACAAGUGCCUAUGACUCAUCAGCAAGGCUGAGGGCUUAGGCUGCCGCGUUUGCCUGCACUCUGUGUGUGUGUGUGUGUGUGUGUGUGUGUGCUCCUAAACACAUGGCUUCUUGUGGUACACUCUUGUUUAUCAGUGUUUCUGAUGGGCAAAAUCCUGCUAUGCAAUUAAAUUUGCAUUAUUCUCAAAUCAUACCCAGAUAGAUCAGCCUUGUUGGAACACAUUUGUGUCAUAAAAGCAGGCAUUGUGUGAGGCUUGGCUGUAAGAGCUAGCAGAGUCCCUGGCCAGCAGUAGAUGUAUAGUUAUGGUUGCUUUCAUUCUUUUGUAUUUCCAUCUCCUAAAGGCCCAUCUUCCUGAGGGCAGGUUCUGGGUUGUGUCCACAUUUGUGCUCCAAGUACUGGCAACCAUUUUGUAAGCCCAUCUGUAAGCAUCAUCUGGGUGUUAGGAGCAGGGCAGGGAUGUGACCUCUGGGGAAGCAGCUGCUGAGACAGAUGCUCAGACACAGGCAUGGUCCUGCCACUUGGAGGCCUGCAGGUUAGCAUGCACCCAAAAGACAACCAAACCGAAUGCUGGACCCUGGACCUUCUGACCUUCUUGGACCUGGCCCAUGUCAAAGUGGAAAGCGUUUCUCACACUGAGCAGUGAAAGGCUUGGAAGACAAAAUAUGACCAUGCUACAGCAGUCCUGGAUCAAAUGAGAAGCCAUCAAAAAGUGACAAUGUCCUAAACCUGACAAGGGGAAGAGGAAAGAUCAGCCUUGAUCACCUGCUUCUGAAAGUGACUCCCAUUCCAUACCUUUUCCAUUGUGUCACUAUUUGCCAUGUUCUGUGACAACAUGAGUCAAAUCUAUCAUCAGGCCAUCAUCACAGAGCAAAUGUUGUGCUUGGCAUUUUAUCAUCCAUAUUGUGCAUUCCUCCAGACCAUCACGGUGUAGAAGACCACAGCUGUUAGUUCACAGAUGAGUGCAGUAGCUUCAGAGAGGAAGAGUGACUUGCUCAAAGGCAUAGCAGAGCUGGGUGAGCCUGACUUCCAAUCAUCUUCCUCCUCAUUCAGAACAAGGCAAAGGUAGUGCUGGUUGCCUGCUGUGCACGGGGGUGAAAGGAAGAUAGAUGAGUGAAUAAUAAACAUCAAUGCUGUCUGCUCUUGAUGAAGGGCACUAACUCUAUCAGGGUAGAGCAUCAUUCUGCUCUUUCCUUAAUAGAAGCAUAAAUAUGAUCAUUCCCUGCAAUAAGCAAUUUCCUUGGCUCUGGUGACACAAUGGGAAAUUAAAUAUGGGUGUCACAGGACUACUAGAGGAACAAAUGGCAUUACAUAGCCCUCCUCCUCCUCUCCCUGCUGUGUUGCCAUCUUUUUACAGUCUGACAUGAAGCCCUGUAUAGAAUCAGGGUUCCAAACAGAGAAAAUGUACAUUGAAAUGCUAGUGAUAUGGUGCUAUAAGGUUGCUCAUUCGCUGAUGUGGUUUCCCUCUAUUUAGAAUAACAUGCAAUUUUUACCAAGAGUCUGUGCUUUAAAUUUGUGACCUUCUGUAUGGUUUUUCUUCCCUGAGUAGUUGUAAAUUAGGCAGGUUAAUUAAUCUCUCUGUGCUCAAGAAUUCUCCGUUAUCUCCAUCUAUAAAAUGUUGACAUCAUUAUCAUUUUAUUGGUAUUAAUUACUUUCCUGUCUCUCAAAGAAAAAAAUCCAUCACUUCCAAGUAAAAGAAGAAAGAUUUAUUUUGGCUUAGGGUAUCAGAGGAUUUAGUCUGUGGUUGACUACUUUAAGGUAGAAAGAGCAUGGAGGAAUGGUGUGACAGAGGAAAGUUGCUCACACCAUGGCAACUAGGAAGCCAAAGAGAGAGCGAGAGGAGCCAAAUACAAGGAUGUUCCCCACCUCCAUCGUUCUCCUAGUGGCACACCUCUUAACAGCACAUGAAGCCAGGAAAUCCUCAGUGGAUUAAUCCACUGGUGAGUGUAAGGCUCUUAUGACCCAAUCAUCUUCCUAAAGCCCUACAUACGAACACAUAACACUUUUAGGGGGCAUUUCAGAUCUAAAACAUGUCAAUAAGCAUCAUCACGAACCCACUCCUCUUUUGAUUUAUUUCAUAUGUUAGAUGCCCAUGUCCAGGAAAAACAUAGAGUAGGAAAACCCUUUCCCUAGAUGAUGAGUUCUCUUUUCUUUCUGAGAGGUGCCCAGGACCUGUGCUCAGUCAUGUGGAGGUCACAGAUCGCAUCAAACUUUGCCAGGCCCUCAUGAGGUUCACAGCGAGCACAGGAUUGUCACUUUCCUGGUUCCCUGGCCUAGAUCUCAGAGAAGUGCUCACCUGCUGGAUUCUGAAGAGCCCUUUCUAAGCUUUGACAAUUUUGCAACCAGUGCAGAAAAGUUCUGGUGAAAAUAGCAUCUAAGUAUGAAGAAAAAUGCAAUGACAGGACUGUCAUCAAGUAAUAAAAAUAUACAGUGCCUUUAGAUUCUAUUGCACAAACCCUCAUUCAUAUGCAUUGGAAGGAAUCUUCACACAUAUAAAGACAAAGUAUUUUAUUUGUUCUAAAGACCAAGCAUGGUGCAUAUACAAACUCAAGAACACUUGAAAUCAUCCUAGGCCUCCCAUUCCCAAGGCCUAAGGUUUGAUAAUUAUGCCACAAAACAAGUUUCAGAAGAAUAUCUACCUCCUUUGCCUCUUAAUAAAAAGCCAGGUUGAUAUAUUUUAUUGUGCAAUGAAACCCAUAAAGAAAAUAAAAUGUCCAAAUCCAUGCAGUGCCACCAGAGAGAAGACAAUAAAUUUAGCACUUUGAUAAUACACAUAGUGAGUUAAUAGGGAAUUUAGAAUAGAGGGUGGGGCUCUUCCCCAAGUGUAUUAUUAACAGUCAAUGCCAUGGACAGGAAAGGGAUAAAUAUAGAAAUGAAUGCAAUUUGGCAAAAUUACAAAAAAAUAUAACCAAUUCUCUCUAAAGUGAAUGCACGCUUUGCUCUGUUGAGGGAGGAGAAAUGAGACAGUGAGAAUGUAUCUGCAGUAGAUUCGCUAAUCUUUGCUUUUUCCUCACAAUAUGCACAUCAGUUAAAAACUAACAUUCACAGGUCAGUUGAUGCAGAAAGCACAACUUCUCGGGGAUGGGAAUACACAAAUUAUCUAGAGGUGCGUUUUUCGUUUUCACUCCUGACUGAUGGUCAAACAUUACAAGGGUGAAAGUGUCAGACAGAGCUCCUGUUGUUAAAGAUUCCACAGUUCGGGUGGAAGCUUCUGCCCUAUAGCAAAAGACCUCCAACAAACAUUAGAUCCAAUGUGUUGAUGGCACUGUUGUCACUUUAGUCCAAGCUAAAUCUCUCUCUCUGGUGGAUACAAUAGCAGUUUCUGAGGUAGUCUCACCACUUCUCCAGACUCCACCACCAUCACCCACCAUCUGUUACUAAACAGCCAGGGGAAGCUUCUCACCUUUCUCAUCAGGUCUUGCCACACAGGUGUAACCUCUCCAGGGGCUCCUUGUUACCCUUAAAAUCAUAUACAGACUCCUGAACUGAUCUGCAAAAUACUCCCCCAUCUCUCUUGGUGAGUAGGAACUCCAUCUGCUUCAUGCUCUGGUUUUCCUGUUGUGCCCCCCAGCAUCCAGCUUUAUGUUUUCUUCUAGUUACAUGGAUGUCGGUUUCAAGAGUAUUUCUUAAACACUUGACCUCACCACUGUCUUUAGCAUGUAGAUAUUAAUGACGGGUCAUCUGCUGCCGCAUACUUUAUUUUCUUUUCUCUCUAGAAAUGUUCUCUAUCUGAACGUAUCCUCUUCAUACAUUUGUAUAAUUUGUAUAUUGUCCUUGGACAUCCUGCUAAGACAUGGAUUCCACAUGAACCAGGGUUUCCUCCAGUUUGGUUAUACCAUGUACUCAGUCCCUGGGACACAGGUAACAUGCAGUAAACUUUCAUUCAGAGAAUGAAUGAAAUAACUUGUAGAUCUACAAGGAUCUGGAAUGGUGUGAGGACAUUUGGGAAACUUUUAUACAAGGAAGAGAAGCUAGAAUUCUGACAGAAAGGAAUGGUUAAUUAUGUAAAAAUGUGUGCUCAGAUCCAAAAAUGACAUUUAACAUUUAUAUUAUUACAUUUCUCACUUCUACUGUAGGAGGCAGACAGAUGAUGAGUGAUGUCAUGAUUAUGCACCACCAAUAAUAAAGUCAAAUUGGAAGCACAGGGUUAGGGGAUCCUGCCUCACUUGCAGGAGUGCUCAAAUACCUCACCAAGCUGUUACAUACCCUUCAUCCUCUCCAGCCUGGCAACACAUCUGAAAAAUGUAUAUUCAUCAAGGUAAGGGCCUAGGGGCCAGCAGCUUCAGACACAUCCUAUCGCUUUCCUUAUUUGUCUUAUGAAAUUGAGAAGAAAAUCAAACUUUGUGACUCAUUUUCCUUUUCCGUGAAUGAAGUGGUACUUAAUUUCAGAGUGAAAGUAUAAUUUAACCCUUAUAAAGUGCUUAACGUGGUACCCAAAACAUGACAAAUAUACAACCCAAAUGUGUUAUAUUGUGAUAAUUGCUUUAUUAAAAGACUGAGCAUUUGAAUACACUCACUUAAAUUCAUAUAGCAUGAGCACACUGAACCCAGGAUCAAGCUCAGAUUUGGCCAAUUAUAAAAGCCAAAUAUUAUAGCCAUGCAAUUGAACUGCUCUCCUGCAAGAGCCUCAGUCAUGAGAGUCAGUUCCAUGUGAUAAAAGUGUGCAGUGCAUACACUUAUAGCAUUCCUUGUUACUUUCGUGUGUUCAUAUUUGUUGUUCUCAAUGAGGCAACCGACACCACCAGGAGGGAAGGACUGACCACUGAAACAGUAGGACUUACUAGUGGCUCCUUUACCACUGCUGUGAAUUCAUAGACAUUCACCUAAAUGUUAUCUAAGAACAUUACCUCCCUGAUUCCAAAGGCUGGAAAAGUGAGUUUGCCAGCAUCAUUAGUGUCCCUGUGUCUUCUUAUCAAGGUUUUUGUUUUAACAAAAAAGAGCUCAAUAAAUCAUAUAGGGUCCUGACGAUGCCAUCUGUACCGUUAGCUGGGCACAUUGCAGAGACUGAUUUCUGGAACAGCAUCUCAGGGAGAUGAACAGCUCAGUCCCUGCCUUGAGAACCCAUGAUACCAUAUAUUAGUGAGUCUCAUAAUUGCUAGGCACCUUUGAGCAUGUCCAGUGCAGAGAUGGGACCCAUCCCGAGGCAAAGGCUGUGCAUUAGUAAACUGAGUCUUAGGAGAAGACUGUGAGGCCAGGUGGGAAGCUCUCCAGUACAGAGAAGAACAGAAGAUGCUCACAGUGGGUAUGAGACCAGACUGGGUAUGGGCCAGGGUCGGCUUUCUGGAGAAGAUAGUACUUGAUCUGCAUUUCAUAGAAUUAGUAGGAUUGUACCAUGAGAUACAGGUGGAAAGACCAUUCUGUGGGUGGAGGUGGGGGUCAUUUGAACAAAAGAAUGGCAGUAACAUGCACAAAGAAGGGGAUAGGGAGGAGCAUAGUCUGAUUGGUGACCUGAGUAUGAACAUAAGACAUCAGGUCAUGAUGAGUUUUUCAUCAUAUUCCUUCCGGUCUGUGUGUGGGAAGCAGGCACAAUCCAUGCCUAAAGGGGAGGUCAAUUAGAAGCAGUGGUAACAGAUGUGUAUUCAUGAUUUGCUCUGUGCCAAAACCUGUGCUAAGUCCUUUACAAGGACUAGGCCAGCUUACAAACACGCAGAAUCACUGGCAGAAUACAGUCUCCCACAGGUGUCCAUGUUCAAACCACCCAGACUUAUGCACAUGUUACCCUGCGUGAGAAGGACUGUGCAGAUGUGGUUAAGAUCUUGAGAUGGGAAGACUUUCUGAACUGUGGUAGGACCGCCCCCCCCCCCGCCAUGUAAUUACAAAGGUCCUUAUAAGAGAGGCAGGAGGGUCAUAGGAGAACCAGCAGAGGGGAUCUGGAAUUGGACAGACAGGUGGUCACCAGCCAAGGGCACUGACAAGGCUUUAGCAACUGGCAAAGUCUGAGAAGUCAUUUGCCCCUGAAGCUUCCAGAAAGAAUGAACUCUGUCAACCCAUUUUACAUGUCUAACUCUGGAAAAUUGUUAUGGCAGCAAUAAGAAAAUAACACAUGGUCUAGGUACAAUAAAAUUAUCUUCAUUUUAGCAAUGAAGAAGCUAAAUCUCAGAGGGGUUUGCCUGUCAAAGAUCAAAGAUGGCAGAUAUAGUGUCAGACUGAACUGUGUAAUUUUCCUCUCUAUUUCAGCUAAAUCUGCACAAACCCAAGAUGCCUUUGGUGCAAUUGAAAGUAGAUUCCUGUCAAUUUCUCCCACUCCCCACUCCUGGCACCCUUGAUGCAGCAGUCACUCCAAGCAAUAUGUCACCCUUCACAAAAUCCACAAGAACAGAGGGUCUUUUACUCCUGCCAAAAACCCUAAAGAAGGAGAGGAAAGUACAGGUUAUUACCAUCGCAAUGAGAUUAGAGAAUCUGUGUUUCAAAAAUCAGAUUGAGUGAUAAAAAGUACAAUGUUCAUAAAUAUUUAACCUCAUCAACAUGGCAGUAAUUAGAGAGCCGAGCAGGGUGCCCUGCUAGCUGUGGGCUGACCUGGAACCUGAGAGGGAAGAUUUCCAUGAGAAAUAAAUGACGGGAGUCCAAAAAGAUGAGAUACUGCACCUGGCACCAACAUUUUACCUGAAAUGCCCCUAAAAUGACGCUUUUUGAAUUGUUGAAUUCACAGUAAGUCUGCCAUCUAUUUUAAGCCCAUAAUAGCCUGGGAAGUUAUAUAUAGUCAUCUCACACAGACACCACUUCCUUUCUAUGAUGCAUCAUGUGUAUCACUCGCAGUGAAUCAGGGUCAUCCAGCUUCUGUCUUCCUUUGCCUCCAUGAGUGCCCACCAUGUGGAAAUGCCUGUCAGCAUUGACUGUUCCACCAUUUUGGGCAAGUGGCUCAAAAGUGGUUCAUUUUGCUUCAGUUCCAAAGUCACAAGUAUAAAACAGGGUGUGAGGACUCCACCCAUGCUCUCUGGGGCCUUCUCUCUUGCUUUUCCAAGUAUCCCAGUUGGGAACUCACCUGGACAAGUGUUUUAGAAGAUAAAAGGCAUGUAGCCCGGUCGCCUGGUCCCCCAGAUGGCAGCAAGCUGACCACCGCUCAUGAAGUUUGCUCAUGUGACACAGGCCAGUCACAGAGAACCACCAGCUUUCUGGGCCCUGACUCCUGUUGCAAAUGUGAGACCAACCUAGACUCGCAGAAUCUGCCCAACACUAGUGGUUCAGCCAAAAUCACCAGCCUGCAGACGGAAGAAUUUAAAAAUGAAAAACAAAACAGAAAACUCUAUCAAGUCAGUUGGUUUAGGCUGGCUUGGGAUGAGCCAAGCAGGACUGACAUACUUGCCCAUCUGCACUGAACAUGCUCUUGUGUUCUUGCUAUGAAAAGUAAGAAAAUAAAUCACAGAACUGAAAGGAAACAAACCCUCACGUCAGGGGUGGGGUGGGGUGGGGAACGUCUCCGUAGGAAGAAGUUCACCGUCAAAGAGCAUGUAUCUGGCGAGUACUUGCUGCCUGUCUUGCACAUCCUGCCUGUCCACAUCCUCCUUCAUCCCUGGCUUCCUUCUCCUGGCUGGAUUUACUGAAAGGCUGUCUACUCCUGCUGUUACCGCUUUCUAUCCUGAUCUCUGCGCACUCUAGCCUGGUUUCUGUUUCCAUCACAUCAUUUUUCACGUUGAGGCAUUUGCUAAGACUUUAUUUGGUGACAAGAAACGGAAGCCCAACUUCAGUAAGCUCACAGACUAACAAAGAAGGAUCUGAUUAGGAUACACAGUAUCUCAGAGGACCCAAGAACGGAAUGCAGCAAUCCCGUAGACAUCACUGGAAUCAAGUCUUGCUCUCUGGUGUCUUGCCUUUGCGUAUUUCCCAUAUCACUGUUUCAUUCUGUCACUUUCUACACACUGAAUGUCUCUAUUUCUUAAACUGCAAAACAAAAAAAAAAUGACAUCAGCCCAUAAUUUCUUUUUUUUUUUUUUUUGUCUUUUUCCUUUUUAUCUGUACUGGGGAUGGAACUCCCGACUGCCUGCUUGCAAGGCAGACGCUUAUGCAGCUGAGCUAAAUCCCCAGCCCCAGCCCAUAAUUUCUUAUAAGCUCCUCCUCAGUUUAUGUGACUUCCGUGCAAGAGACUGGCCAGAUCUCAAUGUCAGCCCUGGGUCACACAUUCCUUGAGGAGCUCCUCACUUGGCUGUUGGCCAGGAGAUAGAGUUGUAAGGGCAAUUAAAGGACAGGUCUCAGGAAGUCAGAAGAUCCAAUACUUGUGAUAGAGACCAGAAAAGCAAAGCAAUCUCACCGUAGUGCUCAGCUGCACCCACUCCCCAUACAAACUUCCACAACUUAACUGGCCAUAUCAUAGGUCAAAAUGGCACCCCUGAGUUGCAACAUACAAUUUACAUGAUUUACAUGAUUAUAUGUUGACUGUGUAUUCCAUAGCUUGUAUUUGCGUGAAGGCAAAGAUGAGUUCACUGCUUGACUCGUGUCUGACCCACAGUAAAACGUAGUGAAUGUCAACAGUGAUUCAGUGAAGAGAAUCUUAAGGUUUGGAAUGGACAAAUAAAGUCAUGGGUCACUAUGUUCUGACUCUACUGCAAAUUGUUUUUAUUGUGCAGUGAAGACAAGAAUGUGAUAUCAACAUGUUAGAUAAAAAUUUGCCUAUGUUCAUACUAUAACCAAGGAAAAGCCUUACCUUCUCAACCUCCAGAAUUUUACUGAAGAACUUGUGCUUCUAAUUAUGUUGUUUUGUGGACAGUCAGAGAUACAGUGAUGGAGGAAAUGCAGAAUGAUAAUCCUUACCAGGAACAUGAGAAAAACGAUUGAUUUGGUGAAUGGUGGUCAUUGAUCCAGAGAACGUCAUUGAUCCAGCUUCCUGUGCGAUGAACGUAACCAGGUUCUUGACAGAAUGAACACAGCUCAUGGGGACAAACUUUCCCAGUUGCCUGCUUGACCACAGAGCUAGACACACACAGUCAGCCCAGGCCUGCACUCAGAAUGCCCAAUGGAGGAAUUUCUUUUGUGCAAACACCUUCAGAGUAUGGCGCUAGUGUCUUUGUCUUUUACUAUGGAAAUUUUCCCCUUUUCUGAGUCAUUUUAUAACCACAUCCCCUGUGAAAGAAAACUUGGAAAGGAAGCUAGAUGAGAGGAACUGGCAAGAUCCUUUGGAAAAGCAUGCUGCUUGCAUUUUCUGCACUUGACUAACUUCUAAACAUUUCCAGUCCACAGUUCCAUAUCACAAAUAGACACCUGGAGUCUUAAAUCUGCAGUAAGAAGCAGUGUUUCCCCCUUAAUAUUCAUUAUAUUCCUGAUAUUCAGUUCUCUGAUAGUAAUUUAAAGAAUACCAUAAAUAACUCUGUACACAAUGUGAUGAUUUGAUAAAGUACCUUUAGGCAUCAGUUUGGAUACACAUAUUCCAAACCACAAAUCAUCAGCUAGUAAUUCAGCCAAUGAAUUCAUUAAAAUACAACAAGAAUUACAAACUCCCUAGUUGAGAGUAAUUCAGUGUCAUUGCACUUACUUCUUGUGACAGUUCGUGACAGCAGAUACUGAUACUGGAACUUGCAGGGAAUGCAGAGUGGCCGCUUGGGCACAAAGUGUGAGGCCUUGAGCUAACUUCUAGCUUUACUGUCCAUAGGUUGUGAGACUUUAGAAAAGCUAUUAGACCUCCAGAUACUUCAAUGUCCCUGCUUACAUUAUGGAGAUGUAAAUAAACUUAAAUCGAUGGUUAAAGGAGAUCACAUCAUAGGUGAGGUCUUCCUAGUGUGUAUUUUAACCAUCACUGAACCAAUUCACUUACUUGUAUAACAUUUUUUUUACAAAUUACACAAUUCCUACUUAGAAUAGAAAAAAGAAGGAUGCACUGUGAAAACAAGUUUAUCAGAACUAAAAAAAAAUUAAAAAGUUAAAGUACAGGAAAAUUUCUAUUCAGAUACUCAUACACCAUCAUAUAUACACCAUCAUUCAUAUGCUGUCUCUUCAGGAUGAAGAGAAUAUCUUAUGGUCUAGAUGGAGCAGAAGUAACCGCUACCAAGACAUCCUCAACUCAAGAUAAUAACCUGCUUAUAUCUGAUAUUAAUUUAAUUCCCAAAAGACAGCUAAAUUUUCUUUUGAGCAUGGUUUGUGCCCGAAACUUGUAUCAAGCACCUGCAGCCAGAAGGCGGGAUGGAGUUACAAGAAUGAGCAUCUCCCAGAAUCACCAUAGUGACUGAGGAGAGAGGAAAAGUGAGUUUCCAAAGAAGGACAGAGGAAAGUUUAAUCCCAGCACCUGGGAGUACUGUGUAAAGAAAAGAAUCUUUUUGUCAUUGACGAAUCUUUAUAGCUGAAGCUAAGAAACGAUUUACAAUCUUGUUUUACCUGACAUCUCAACAAUAAUCGCUAGUCUAUGAAAACUCCUUGACCUACCUUUUUACUGUGAAGGUGUAACUUCUCUUUCUAGCUGCUUUGUUCUAGUUUGGAAAGGAUGCAUUCAAUGUCUGGAAUCUCUCCUCUUUUAUCCCUUUGAUGAAGGUAGAGCUUCUCAAUGAUUUUUUUCCUGGCUACCCUUCCACCCCACUUUAUAUCCUCUCAGGUUCUCUACUUUUGUUUUCCACAAAUCUCUGAAGACAGGCAUGGCCAGUGCAGAACCCAGGGCUUUCCUUCUGAAUUCACACCUGGCCUGCCAUUCUCCUGCUACUGAUGUGUUCUUGUAGGAACAGAAAGGCUGGAACACAGCUGCUUCAUGAGUGGCUCUGUUCUGUUCUGAGCUGUGCUCAUAGUAAUUUCAAAAAGAUAAAAGAGAAUUCCUGAAACUCACAGAAAUAACUUUAUGGAAAUGAUGCUACAAAGUGUCAAAGAGUUAGUUCAUCUAAGAUCUUAAAAUAUGUUUGUUUCUUCCAAGCUGAGGUGCUGGCUGUUGAGUGUACAUGAAUAUAAGAGAUGUGAGAUCUGGUUACUAACCUGUAGUCUGCAGGUUUGUGUGACAGUUCUUACUGGAAUAAAUAUUGGGCUGGGACAUUCAGAAGUGCUAAGAGAUGAGUCAUACAGCUGGUAAAAUGGUAGAACUGAGAUUUGAAGAACUGUCCACUCAGCUCUAAGGUAGAAUGAGUGAGUGUCAGAGGAGAAACGGACAGAAACGUCCAAGCCAUACCGUGACGUUUUCCUAGACCUUGUGCCCAGCAGAGGGGAAGGUCCUGGACAGGCACUCAGAGCCUGGGGGCUUAGUGAGCAAGAAGCCAGUGGACUUUAUAAGUACCUGAAUCCACCUAGUGACCCAGCAGCCCUGUGAACAUGGACACAGAGGCCCCAUGAGCAGCUAAUGGCCUGGAAUGAGAAAGGAAAGCUGGCGUGUGCCCCUUUUUCGGGAUUAAAAUUUUGAUUUGUGGAAAACAUUUUUGCACAGGAAACCCCCGCAUGUUAACAAAAUGUGGUUAGAAAAAACAUCAUAUCUGCCUACAGGACAGCAAAUGAAUUUCUAGCAGGAGAGAUAAAAAUCUGAACUUACCUAACACUGUUUGCUUCCCAGGAGCACAGGAUCAUGUGGCGUACUGGAAAUCAUCUAAUUCAACCCUCUUCAUUUCGUGUUUCAUCGAAUUAAUUCAGAAGUUAUGGAGGAGUCUGAAAAGAGGGGACAGCUGUUUCCAAGGGGACAGAACCAACCCAAGAUAUCACCUGGCAGUUAUUACCCUCCCAUCAGCAGGUCAACACAACUGACGCAUUUCUGUUACACCCUGUCAUGGGUCUAACAAAAAUCCAUUUGAAAAUAGUGAUCGACUCUGCUUCACAGAUUUUCCCAUACAUAAUAGCAAUGAAUGCGUACCCAUCCCAUAAACUUAGAAAGGGGGAAUCACAGGGUGACUGUGAUGACACUGACAAGGCAGGGCCACUGACCGUAGUGCCAUCAUGCAAAGGCAGGCACUACUAUUUUUAGAAUGUUUCCUGCCUCAAAGGUACAGGUGAGAGUGUGGACACCGAUUUGAUGCAGGUAAGUUUCAAAUCCCAGGUCCCUAUCUAGGUGCUCUCUGAUCUCAAGUUCUGAUGUCUUUGAAGCCAUCAGUUCCCUCAUUAGAGAGAUCAGUGUGUUAAUAGGGCCUGUCUGCUGGAGUGGUGACAAUUAAAUCACAAUUCUUCAGUUCAGUAUGAGGUUUGCAAGCAGAAUCCUUCGUUACCUUAAUAUAAACUUUAUCCUCUGAGCUUGGAAUAUACACAUUAGUAUUUAUAAUGUAAAAUGAUAUACUUUAGUUAAACUUGUAUAAUAAUAUAGGAAAUCAGUUAUGAUGCUGUGAGUUGUCAUUUUGUGACAAAUUUUCAUUCAUAUUCAGAUAUCCUUUUUAUGACUAAAAAUAAGAGCAUAUGUGUAAUCAAACCUCUUUGUUGACAUUUAAGCAUUUUUAGUUUUUUACAAUUAUAAAUAAUGUUUUGAUGCAUAUAUUUACAUGUACUCUCUUUUUAAGGAUAUAUUUCAGGAAUAAAACUAUUGAAUUAAAUACAUGGAUAUUUAUAAAGCCCAUGAUACAUAUUUCUGGAUUGCUUCUCCAAGAGGGUGCAAUAAUUUAUAUAUAAAACUAGCAAUGCAUGAGAUUUUGUCAUCUUUUAAUAUACUUGGAAGCAUUCUGCACUGACUUUUCAAAAAAUUUUUCAAAUUUGAUAUUUAAGAGAUGAGACUGCAUUGUGAUGAUUUUAAUUUUGCAUGGCUGAUGAGUUGGGAGCUUGGACAUUUUCCAUUGAUUUAUAAACAAACACAUUUACACUAUGGAAGAGUUGUUCUCUGCUCAUUUAUAUGUGGAUAUCUGAGUUUCAUUUUUAUUAAUAUGUUCGAGUUGUCUAUUUAUUAUUGAUAACAAUUCUCUCUCAUAUUAGCUGCAAAUUUGGUUUCUCAGUAAGGAGUUUUCACAGUCUACAUAGAAUCUCUAUAGACAGCUCACCUUGUAACAAGAGGAAAAUUCAGUGAGAGAGCAGCAAGAUGAAAAUCUUCAACCAGGAACAGUAGUACAAGUCUAUAACCCCUGCACUCCAGAAGGCUGAGGCAGUAAGAACUCAGGUUUGAGACUGGCCUGGAUAAUGCAGUUUAGCAAGAACCUGCCUCAAAGAAGGGCAAAGGGGAUUUAGCUCAGUGUAACGGUCCUGGUGAAAUCUCCAGUACCACACAAACCAAAAAAGUCAAUGUUUUGUCACCUCCUUUUGAAGUGACAUCCGUAUCCUUGCCAUUGGUUGGAAGUGAACCCUGACUUGAGUCUAGUUUACUCCAAAGGGCGCGAUAACCAAGGAACUAAAGACCUUUGCUGGUGCAUCUGGAACCUCCUCCUCCAGUAUCUUUUGACUAGUUUAAUGAAUAAUUCACAAACAUAGUUUUAGUUUCUAUUAAUUUACUACAUCAAUUACAAUCUAAGAAGAAAAAGUCCAUUUUCCACAAAGACUAUGAAGACUGGACAUCUUGGAAUGAGAAGUCAGCCGCUGGCUUGAAGUCAGUCGCUCGCUUGCUCUUGCACUGUUUCUGUAGAGCUCCUGGGCUGACCACUAUGUCUGCACACUGGACCCAGAGAACAGUUAAGUUUCCUGAAGUCACAUCUGAACGGGCUCCUGUCUACGUGUUCAGCCCUACCCUCCCGCCAUCGCUAAAUAGAGUGCACCACUGAAGAAUUCUGUCUAAAGAUUCGAAAUUGAGAAUCAGAAGUUCAAGGGGUCCCGGCAGCUCUCAGAAGUUUGCAAUCCAGAACUCCAAAUGCACUACAGCAAAUGAUUCUAAUCGCUUCAGGGAGCUCUUCGAGAUGGAGUGCUUCCAUCUUCAAGAAGGAAGAAACAGAGUCAAUGAUUCCCUCUUACAACAAUAGACCCUCCCCCUGCACCCAGCUGAAAGGGGGGAAAUGUGAGAAAUGUUAAGUAAGAAUUGACAAGUACUGCCCUGGACUGCCACAGUCAGGUGAUAAAGCUUCUGAGUUUUCAAAACAUCUCUCCCGUUAUCUCAUUCACCCAGCCCAGGUGGCAAACUCCAGAAUUUUCCCUGGAGACUGUGUUUGGGAAUGAUGAAAGCAAGAUGAACUGGAUAAGAAAAAUCACACAAUGACAUGAACUUGAACAUCUCAACUAAUGGGUUCGAAACUGGGCCAAGUUCAUUCUCUGUGCAGCCUUAAAAAUCCAUCUUUCUGAUUCUGUUCCCAUACCCAGAAAGGACAUUCUUUGGCUCAGAUUUUUUCUUCAUUUACGCAUUCAUCAAUUUGAUGCUUAUUUCCUGAGAGCCUGCUAUGCACCAAAAAUGUUCCUGAUUCCAGAGAUGUGGUAGUGAAUAAAACGGUAUCCCAGUAAGUAAAUCUAAGUACCUGGAUAUACAAAAGAAGCAGAGGUGACAUGAGCAUGAUGUGAGAGCCUGGCGUCAGGACAAACUCCCAGGAUCUGAGUCAUGCUCAGACUUUGUCAGGGGGCACAGUGAGGCAGGAGAGGAUGCCUGACUGGUCUGAGGCAGAAGAACUUGAUGGUAGGCUGGGUGUGCCCACCUGCAGUUCUGAAUUAGGGUGCAUCUGCCUCUGACCUGCGCAGCUGAAGAUUUGUCAAAGUCCAUUUGCUAGUUCUGUUUUUUCCAGGUCUGAAACCAAUAAAAGCCUGGCUUGGAAGCCACUUGACUCCA